UACGGAGGGUGCAAGCGUUAUCCGGAAUCACUGGGCGUAAAGGGAGCGUAGGCGGCGCGGUAAGUCAGAUGUGAAAUCCCGGGGCUCAACCCCGGAACUGCAUCCGAUACUGCCGUGCUAGAGGAUUGGAGAGGUAGCUGGAAUUCUUGGUGUAGCAGUGAAAUGCGUAGAUAUCAAGAGGAACACUCGUGGCGAAAGCGAGCUACUGGACAACUCCUGACGCUGAGGCUCGAAGGCUAGGGUAGCGAAAGGG
rnacentral:rRNA from 1 species